rnacentral:rRNA from 1 species
UACGUAGGGGGCAAGCGUUGUCCGGAAUUAUUGGGCGUAAAGAGCUCGUAGGCGGUGUGUCGCGUCGACCGUGAAAACCUGCAGCUUAACUGUGGGCGUGCGGUCGAUACGGGCAUCACUGGAGUUCGGCAGGGGAGACUGGAAUUCCUGGUGUAGCGGUGAAAUGCGCAGAUAUCAGGAGGAACACCGGUGGCGAAGGCGGGUCUCUGGGCCGAUACUGACGCUGAGGAGCGAAAGCGUGGGGAGCAAACAGG